rnacentral:lncRNA from 1 species
GUAGGAUUUCAUGUUGGAGGCGAUAUUUCCUUAAAAUAAAGGACUUGAGACAACCAGACGAGAUAUUCAGAUCAAGAUGUCCGAUCAAGAGCUUAUCCUUAACACAAAGAAUAUUACAUUGGCUAAUCCCUUUUGUAAAAAUGGACUCACGCUUCAGUAUUAAUACACACAAGUGAGAUGGUAUCUUCCAUUGGAUUAAAUGGUGCUUGGGGUUGGUUUGGUACUGGGAUUAGGUUUUUAAAUUACAUUAAACUCUUCUUCAUCCCUAUAGUAUGAGAUCAAACUUGCUAGCGAGUCAGCUUCAUUGUUUUCUAGUUGUGGAGGUUUAUUAAGCCUCUUCCAUAGUCAUGGAGAUAGCCAAGGUCAACUGCAAGCAUGACAUUCUGAUGCCAUGUAUGAUGUCAUAAAUAGGAUAAGCUCCAAGUCUUGGCAAAAGGAAAGCAGGCUGACAGUCAGACAGAGGCUUCAUGCUGUCGAGAUGAGUCUUCGGUGCAUUUUGCACCAGCCAAAGCUUCUGAACAUAUUUCAAGAGCAUCUCUACACAAAGGGCACUGUGUCCAUGAAGCUUUAAGCAUGGGGAAAGCAAGAGGCUACGGGUAUUAAAAGUGUGUGUUUAAGGUAGGAAGCAUCUGAGAAAAGACAUUAAAGAUGGAAAUACCAAUGCAAAUGUCAGACAUCACGAAGGCACAUAAUCCUGUUAAACAUGAAGCAAUUGGUCACUAGGGGGACCUUUAGUAUGUGAUCUUCUAUUACUUGCUGCAGAAUUUCUUUCUUUCUCCACUCAAAGGCCUCUUUCCCUUAACAUGCUGGGCAACCCUGAGCGUUUGAAAGAUUGAGUGUGAAAUUUAGAUGAACAUUAGCACGAUAACAAAAUGUUUAAUGGAGGAGAAAGACUAUAGUGGGGUUACUGAGGUCUGCAGAGGAGUGGGGUAGGGUGGGAGAUGAAGUGGAUGUCAAAGAAACGGAGGCUUGCAGAAAAGACAGCCACUCAUAUCAACAGGUCAACCCAUGUAGUGUUCAAGGACCCUGUCUUGAAACUGUUUGAGCAAUGUCAUGGGCAGGGGGCUUCCAGCUACCCCACCUGCUGCAUUUGGAAGCCUGCUAGGGGGACUGUGAGCAACAUCAUGAAAGAAGUCUUUCUGAGACCAAGGUGCGAUUGUCCAUCUCACUUCUUGUAUUGGCCAUUGCCCGGGAGGUUUAAUGUAAUCUUGUUAUAUCUAUAGUGCUGAAAUGUAAUUGGGGGGGGGGUAUGUUGGUAUAUUUGCUAUCAUGUCGUUGUUUUAUUAUGUUAUUAUGAAAGUGUUCUUGUGGUGGAACUUCGGUUGUCAAAUGUAAUCCAUUCCAGAAGACCAUUCAACUUCCAAAACGUUUGACAACCAAGGCACAAUUGCUGGUCAGCAAAAUCCAUUGAAAAAAUGGAGAAAUGUGUCUCAGGAGCUGUUGGACUUCCAAAGCACAUUCGAAAAUGGUAGCAUUCACUUCUGGGUUGUCGGCAUUCUAAAGCCGAAGUGUUUGACUUCCGAAGCGUUUGACAACCGAGGUUCCACUGUAUAUUCCUGCUUUCUUUGUUGCAAGCCACCUGGAGCAUGAUUCUUUUUGUGGAAUAGUGGUAUACAAAUAAACUAAUGGUGGUGGUUGUGGUGAUGAUUAACAGAAAUAUUUUAGCACAACCUCUCCAGGAUAACUCCAGGGUAGAGGAUUAGUUGAGGCAUUAGUAUUUUAUUUCAGCAACCCCUUUCUUUUUUUAAUAGUGAAAUGUUUUGUGUUGACCCUUAGACCUUUUUCUGUUGGCUAUUUAGCAAACAGACAUAUUAGAAGGGGCCUCCUCUCUCACAAAUUCGCACAUACACACCAAGCAAUUGUUUACUUCAUGUUCAUUCUCACUCGUUUUUAAUCCUAUGCAGCAAGCCCCAAAACAUCAGUGAGCUCCUGACAGCUUUAAUUGGUUCAGCCACCAAUGUGACUAGCAUCCUGCGUGAACAAACCAUGAAUGGCAUGAAGAAGACAACAAUAAGCAGGGCCUGCCCUACUGUUCAGCAGAGUGAGGCAUUCGCCUCAGGCGGCAGAUGCUGGGAGGCCACAGUGACAGCCCACCCAGCAUUUUCUCCUGAGCCUCCUAGCCAUUCCCACCUUUUGGAGAUCAGAGGUGUGUGCCGUACACCUUCUAAACUAGCCUGCUGAAUGAUAUCCCAUUGCCCAGUCAGCUUCUGUACAUUUAGGGUUGCCAUAUUUCAAAAAGUAAAAACCAGGACACCCCAAAACUUGUUGGGCACGAUUUUUCAAUUGAUUUGAUUGACAAAGCGCUGCCUUUCAGAAAUCCUCCCCCAAACAUCAGUUCCGCCUUUGAAAUUCUGGUAAAGUCCAGGAAAAUAUGGCGGUCCGUGUGUGUGUGUGUGUGUGUGAGAGAGAGAGAGAGAGAGAGAGAGAGAGAGAGAGAGAGAGAGAGUCUUUUCCUCUGCCUAAGGCAGCAAAACGUAUUGGGACAGCCCUGAUAGUAAACACAGUGGUGACCUGGUUAGAUAUUAAUAUUCUGCUAGGCCAGUUUUGAGAAUGUGCACUCUUCCUCAUUAUGAAAAUACAUUAAUGUCUUACUAGUCCAAACUGCUUGGAGGGGAGCAUCCAAACUACUUAAUGAGUCAUGAAUUCAAAAACAAACAAACAGGAGUUCUUUUUAUCUAGGCUUGCAUUGACAUGGUGGGCCACUUGAUGAAUUUAGAGAUUAUGCAGGGGAUUUCAGUUUGCCAGGGUUUGAUCAUGUGGAUACUCUUAUAUUUUGCUUUCUCAGUCUUGGACAAAAGUGUAAAAAGCAAGAAAAUAAAAAAGUGUUCAUAGAGGAAAUAGUUUUGGAGUCAAGUGAGCCAUUGGAAACGGGCCCUUUGAAGAUGCAGCCCUUCAAAUAAGGGUUUUUAUUUAUUUUAUUUUUAAGUGGAUUUGAAGAUUCCACCAUAAUGUUGCAAGGUGAUGUCAAACUGGCUAAUUUCUAAAAGAUAAUAAUACAGCUAUUAGAGCUUGGAAACCAUACUGUCUCACCAGUAAGCCUAUGUAAUCCCAGGUAUGUUGUUUUUCUUCUGUUCAAGUUGAACCCUGACCACUUGGGCUGCUCAUGAAAGGCUCGAUAAAUCUGGUAUUGCUGCCUGCUUGGUUCUGAAAAACAGGGAGCUUGUCAAGCCCUUGGCAAUUCAGAACACUUGACGGGUAAACAAGGCCAUUUUGUAUUGUUGCAAGUCUUUUCAUGUGAUGGGCUGGUACCUCUUUUUUGUACGGUAGGGUCUCCACAAUCUGAAUGCAGCCAGCUACAUUCUGGCAGUCAUCCAGAACCACUCCAAAACAACAGAGAUAUUCUUGCGGUCCUCCAGAACCAUGGAGAUAUUCUGGUAGUCUUCCAGAGCUACUUCUUAGCACAUUUCAUCAUCAAACUGCUAGAGAUCUUCCAAAGCCAGCUGCUGUCACAUGUUUGGUGUUCUCAGAAAACAUGCAAACAAACAUGUUUAGGGGGCCUGAUCUUUCAAAAAUGGUGGGAAAAUGAGUGAAAGCUCUAGGUGGGUAGAGUCACUACUACAUGGAUGAACCUCAAGAUCUUGUCUGCCAUAUAAAGGGCAUUUUCAGUCUUCCCUGUUGUCCAGCAAAGUUUAAAGUACAUUUUCUUGAAAACUGUAAUACAAUGAUUUUUGUUCUUCUACAUAUUAAGUAUGUAAUUGAUGCACCUGUAGAAUUGACCGUAAAAUUAGGCAAUUGGAAGUCAUCCCCACUGAGUAUUAUUGAUGGGCCAAUUAUAAUGGGUCAGUUAUACUGCAGCAGUUAGUUUCAUAAAAGGGCAAGAGACACUCAGACAGGGAAAAAAGAAAUAGAAGUUCGAAGUUGUGCAAUGUGAAGAAGUACUCUGGGUCCCUUGGGACAGGGAUCACAUAAAGCUCUGCAAAUGAAAUUAUACUUGGACGCAUAACAUUUAUAGCUCUUAUCCCAGUUACAGAUAAUGCAACUCAAGAGUAAUUAUAUUGGAAGUAAAUGACCUAAGACUAAUUUUGUUAAAAAAGCAAGAUCAGCAUCAAUAUUUUGUUGCCGACUAGGAAGGGGGCGGGAAUCAGUGCAAGGAACAGAAAGAGACUCGUGGAUACAAAGGCUGAGCCGAAGCAAGGGGACAGUGACAAAGCAUGGAAAAGUUGAAACCUUACCAGUUAGAUUUUUUAUUGUGGGGGGAUGGAUAAUGAGUGUAGGCCUCUGUUCCCCCACAAUUGAUUGGUGGAAUUUCAGCAGCAACCUCUCUCUUUUUUAACCCAUAUUAUUGUAUUUUCACAAUCUAGAUUUCUUUCUCGUUGGGCAACUCUGCACGGCCCAUUGACAUAUCAGAGCCACGAGAAACCGCCGUUGCUUUUCUCGCUGCAUCUAUGGCUCUAGAAUCAGUUGAAAUUGGCUGUGUGUACUUCACGAAGGCUGGGGUGACUUCUGCGCAUCAGAACAAGGCGACAUGAUCUCAGACAAUUGGACUGUUGCGCUACGAGGAUUCUAGGUCAGCUCUCAUCAGGCACUGCCUGACCCCGAGUCUGUGCGAGGAGCUUAAACGUUUCAGAGGGAUGACAUGGAACGACGGCAGCUCGGCGAGCACAAUGAAAAGCCUGCGGUCAAAUCAUGGCCCCAAUUGAAGUCCGUGGCAAAGCUCCCAUUGACUUCCACCGGGUGAGAUGUUCACCUCAAGGCGCCGGGGGUUAACUGCCGGCUGUACGUUGAUUAGACCUUCUAUGGUUGAUUUCCUCAGCUUGCCUGGAGGGAUGAUUUAUGGCAGCUAGGCUGCUGCUCUUCAUCUGGGUCUCAAUUAAAUCACAUCAGAGGGGCAAACACCUCCUUGCCUCCAUCUUGGUCAGAGCAGUAAAUUUCCAUGGCUCACUAGCAGACCGAUACAAAAGGAUAUUGUGGUAAGCUUAAACAGCAAUGCCUGUCCUUUUUGAAGGUAGACUUGAAAAGACCAAAAAUGAUUUUCGUAAUACAUCAUCGCUAAAGGUCUUUCCUCCCAAAGGAUCCCCUGGUUUUCCUGUCCAACAUCCUACAUUUCUCUCCAUUAGUGGGGUCGUUACUUCUUUUUAAAAAAUAAUUUUUAUUUGAUUUUUACAAGUGUAGAAUACAUAUCCAUCUUUAGAGAUUUCUCUGAAUCUCCUGACUUCCCACCAUCCCCUCCAUGGGUCCUUUUGUCAACCUUUUCAACUGCAUAUUAUUUCAUAAUCCAUGUUUUAUAUCUCUCCAUGUUGUCCAUGAUAAUUACUACAUUACAAGUGUUAUUAAAAUCCUUCUAA